rnacentral:rRNA from 1 species
CAGCCGCCGCGGUAAUACGGAGGAUCCAAGCGUUAUCCGGAAUCAUUGGGUUUAAAGGGUCCGUAGGCGGUCUUGUAAGUCAGUGGUGAAAGCCCAUCGCUCAACGGUGGAACGGCCAUUGAUACUGCAGGACUUGAAUUAUUGGGAAGUAACUAGAAUAUGUAGUGUAGCGGUGAAAUGCUUAGAGAUUACAUGGAAUACCAAUUGCGAAGGCAGGUUACUACCAAUUGAUUGACGCUGAUGGACGAAAGCGUGGGUAGCGAACAGGAUUAGAGACCCCAGUAGUCCCUGUCUCUUAUAA